rnacentral:rRNA from 1 species
GACGUAGGGGUCCAGCGUUGUUCGGAAUUACUGGGUGUAAAGGGUUCGUAGGCGGUGCGGCAAGUUGGGAGUGAAAUCUCUGGGCUUAACCCAGAGGCUGCUUCCAAAACUGCUGUGCUUGAGUGUGGGAGAGGCGCGUGGAAUUGCAGGUGUAGCGGUGAAAUGCGUAGAUAUCUGCAGGAACACCCGUGGCGAAAGCGGCGCUCUGGACCACUACUGACGCUGAGGAACGAAAGCUAGGGGAGCAAACGGG